AUUGAACGCUGGCGGCAUGCCUUACACAUGCAAGUCGAACGGCAGCACGGACUUCGGUCUGGUGGCGAGUGGCGAACGGGUGAGUAAUGUAUCGGAACGUACCUUUCAGUGGGGGAUAACGUAGCGAAAGUUACGCUAAUACCGCAUAUUCUGUGAGCAGGAAAGCAGGGGAUCGAAAGACCUUGCGCUGAUUGAGCGGCCGAUAUCAGAUUAGCUAGUUGGUGGGGUAAAGGCCUACCAAGGCGACGAUCUGUAGCGGGUCUGAGAGGAUGAUCCGCCACACUGGAACUGAGAUACGGUCCAGACUCCUACGGGAGGCAGCAGUGGGGAAUUUUGGACAAUGGGGGCAACCCUGAUCCAGCCAUGCCGCGUGAGUGAAGAAGGCCUUCGGGUUGUAAAGCUCUUUCGGCCGGGAAGAAAUCGCAUAGGCUAAUACCCUGUGUGGAUGACGGUACCGGAAUAAGAAGCACCGGCUAACUACGUG
rnacentral:rRNA from 1 species